rnacentral:rRNA from 1 species
UUCGACCUCAAAUCAGGUAGGACUACCCGCUGAACUUAAGCAUAUCAAUAAGCGGAGGAAAAGAAACCAACAGGGAUUGCCUUAGUAGCGGCGAGUGAAGCGGCAAAAGCUCAAAUUUGAAAU